CCAGGGGACGUUCGUUCAUCCCCUAUCCCGCCCGGCUGCGGAGGAACACCGGCCCGGGCCUACGGCUCUUUGCGGCGGAGGAGGCGGCGGCGGCGGCGGCGGCCGUUACUAGUGGGGUACCGCCGCAGGGCCCAGGGCUGUCGAAGGGGAUUCAGGUCUAGGACCCUGCCUGGCAGAGGUGUGGCUCGAGGCCUACUUCUCCCAUAGCAUCUGGUUGCCGCACAACCCACUGCCUCCCCUCCUGAAGGGGGCCCGCCCCAUGAGAAGGGUAAUGAAUGGUGGGACAGGCCACUUCCCGGGGCAAGUUCUCCUUCCUUGUCCCGGCUGCUGAGACUAACUCCGGUCACCCGGCUGCAGGCCCAUCUCCAUCGCUCCAGGCCACGGCCGCAGACAAAGCCCCGUCUCCCAGCAAGAUCGUGGCUUCUCAGUGCAGACGGGAGUAACGUUUUCUUCAUCAGUUUCCUUGCUGAAGGGAAAAGAGCAGCCAUAAAAUCCUACGUGAUAGUUUGGGGGUUGCUGGCUGUUGAAAAGGAGGCGCCAUGCUGACUGUGCUGGGCAAGGAGACGAGAGAACUGUUCCCAGGCUAGUAAGAGAAGGGUAGCUUCAAUUCUGCUGUUAGCAAAGGAGGGGGAGCUGUUCUCCAUCUUCUCUCCCCCCCACAAGCACUUCUAUCUCAGCCUUAAUCCUGGAAGAGUUUUAUGGAGAGAGGAGUUGUAUUUUAGGCCAGCUAUUCGUGACCCAGUCUCUUAGAUAUACUACGUCAUCAGUAUUGCCAACUCAUGAGUCAGGUGCCCAAAAGAGUUGCUUGGCUCAAAGUCAUGUGAUUUUAAAACCUAAUACACUUUAGGUUCUUUGUAUAUGCCUUCUGGUUUGUAAAUCCUUAGGAUUCACAUUUUCAAGCUUUUCUCUGUAAUUAUGAAGGCUAUAAAAUUACUUUUAAAAUUAAAGCUGCGAGACUCACUUAGUCACAUGACUCCAGAAGUUGCAGCUUUAAUAAAAACAUCAGCUAUCCCAAGACUCACUAAAAUCAUGAGAUUGCAAACCUGUAACAUACUCUUUAGUGAGCCAAAUAAAUUACUAGUGUAACAGCAUCUCCAAACUUAUUUUAAUGUAAUGCCACUUCAAGAAUUAAUUUGUUCAGUAUGUUUACAGACCGUAUCUUCUUAUAGGUCAGUAAUUUUACUCCCAAAUAUAUGUUACUCUGGACCCUGGGUAAUCUUUAACAUUUCACUUGUUUAAAAACUAUAGAUAAAUGGAAAGAGGAUAUGGGGUUUUUUUUAAGUAUAAGAAAGAAGAAAGCAGCAUAAAAGGAGCUCUGCACUUAUUAGGUAGAAGGGAGAGAAGGGCUAGCUAUAGUAGGCAGAGGCAAAACAAUUGUUUUAGCACUACAGCUGAUUGUUUCUUCCAAAUUUAAAGGGGCAGUUACCAUACAGGUAUGCUGGGAGAAGCUAUAAAAGGGUAAACCCAAUGAUUCCUAGGCAGUUAGGACCUUUGGAAGGUUUUUAAUUUACAACAGUGAGUGCUGGAUUAGGCCCAAUGAAAGCAAGUUACAUGUACAGAAAAUAUAUUGUAGUCUCUUUAGAAGGGCAUUUUGGGGUAUGAGGCAGCUUGAAUUGUCUAGAGCUACAAACUGGCAUCUUCUUUACACAUUCUCAUGGCCAUUUGUUUUCCUGUGAAUGUUUAAAUAGCUUUUGUAAACUUGUGUAAUCUAAAGUUAUAUUUGAGUGCUUUAAAUAUUCAUGAUGUAUGUCUUACUGCUUCAUGCUAAAAAUUGAUUUGUAGUGACAAUCUGCUCAAAAACUCUUUCUAGCUCUAUAUAGAUUGGCCUAUGCUACUUUGGGAAAAAAUGGAUUGGAAGGAGGAGAAAGCUCAACAUAUGCCCUUGAGCGAAGGCAAUGAGUGAAUUAAUAAAGAGGGAGGUCAAGACUCACAGUUCUUCCUUUGAGGAAAACUACAGAGUUAUGGAUGGGAGAAAUUACACUUUUCUUGGCCCACUGAAAUUGUCAUUUAAUCAACACUUUUAAAGAGCUGGUGUGAGGUUUUUAAACUAUUACAAAUUUCCAGUCUGUAUUCCUGCUAAAGCUACAUUUACUACAUGUAUAGUUUUGAAGCAUUAAGACAAUUAAAUCAGAUCAGCCCAGGAUACAUUUGGUUGUCCAAUUUGGGUUUAAAAUACAACUAUCUUCAUAGUCUACUAAUGAGUGCACUGCACUGAAAGCCCUUCUUUCUUCCUGAUACUUGGAUAGACACAGACAUAUCAGUUAUGUGGUUAAUUGCCAGAUAUUUGCAGUGUAAGUGAAUGCAGAAAAAUCUUGCAUGCAUGAAUAAAUUCUUGUUUUCUACCUGUUCCACAAAACUCCAUUUACAAAUGUAGUAAGCAAAGUGUCAAGAUUUUUAAUCCUAGCAGACCAUUUCAAGUUAAAUUUUUUCAAAAACGCUGUUGUCUGAGGUCAUUCAAUAAAGAAGGAUGAAGUCACAGAUCUUUUUUUGGAACUGUCAAUAGGGAAGUCUGUGCUGUGCUGCAUGUGACUCUUGCUUCUGGUCCUCAGAGUGAUUAACAUGUAAUACUCUGUUGUUAGAGGUGGCAGCAUUUUGCACAAGUAAGGCCAAAAUAGUCAAAAGUGGCAAUUAGUUCUGGGUGCCUCAACUUUUGGUGCUUCGUUUGGGACAUGUUGGGUUCUGAUAUAAGUGCUAAGCACCUACAACUUCAAAAGGAGACAUGGAUACUCAUUACUCCUGAAAAUCAGGCCCAAGGUGGCACAUAAAUCAGGGGGCACUCCUGAAAAUUGGAAUGUCAGUGUCUUUUCUGCUCAGUGUUGUGGUCCUUGUUUUAGUUAGCAUUCUCCUCAGGCUGAUCUUGUUGCCAGGCUUCCUGCAGGGUAGAAAAAUAGUAGUUGCAGAAGAAAAUCCUCAUUCAUGACCUGGUAAAAACAAUCAUGUCAGGAAAUGUGUGUUGUUCAGAUCCUACAAAGAAAAUAAUAGUGAGGUCUGGAGCAAUGUUAAGUAGGCAGGUCAUUUAUGUAAACAAAUGCCUCCUGAAUGCAACUAAAUUCAGUGAAAAUGAUUAUUGGUACUUCUGAUGAGCCAGCUGGAUGAUGUGCAAAUGUCUGCUUCUUGCCUAUCUAUCAGAGGUGAAUAAUAAUUUUGUGGAUCUUUAACUCUCUCUCUCCUUGUUAAUUGAGAAGGAAGAACUCACAAUUGUUAAAUACCUUAAGCCAUAGAAAUUAUUUUCAGCUUCAGCUUAUGUUUUGUUAUUCAGCACAUGUGCAACAAUACUUAUAUGGCCUUCGUGUUUUGGUGGCCAUCAGGCUUUAUUGUUCAUCACUGUUUAUUUACUAAGGCAAAACUAAGGUCAGUAUUUAUGUAAUGUAUCAAUAUGCCUCGAUGUUCAUUUUAGCAGACCUCAGAGUCUGCAUAUUGCUUUUGACAGUCUGUUCAUCUUUCACAGAAAUUCUAAUCACAUUCUAAUCUCUCAGCUUUCCAACUGCAGAAUUUCACACCCACUCCACAACUAAAACUUGAGUGGUUCUAGAGACUGAAACCCAGCCACUCAGCAUCAUCCUAACACCCAAAAUCUUUCUGCUAUCUUUGUAAUUAAAUCUUAGCUUUUAAAACUAUAUUUUAAAUAAGAUUAAAGAUUACAUCUCUUGUGUGGAGUGAUUUUACUCUGUAUAUCUGCUGGAGCUAUGAGGAUGCCUGCUUGUGUUUCUCCAGGCCUUGUCUUGCAGCACUGUCCUUUUGGCAGAGAUGAAAUGGAUGGGACUCCCUUGAGAACUGAAUUUUCCUCCUGAGUUAACUGGAGGGGUUGCUGUUGAAUAUUAAAAGGACCUGAACAGAAACCCAGAUCCAAACAACCCUGAAAUUUGGGAGAGUCCAGAGCCAAACUUCAUGACUAGCUCCUGUUCAACUAAUGGAAUGAACCAAAAUUGCAGAUUGACACAUCCCCAUACUUCAAGCAUGUUCUAAUGUCUGUUUCAACUCUGCAGCUUGACCCCAUAUCAACUUGUAGGGAUGAAUUUCAUCUGAUUUGAAUAGCAGAAGAGAAGGAAAUUAUCACUCUGUGAUGUCAUCUCUGGAGACAGUUUGGUACAAUUACCUUGGGGAAAGCAGGUUCAGCAAUUACAGCAACAUGAGACAGAUGAAAAUUCAGCAUGGAGAGAUAAAAAUAAAAAGCUCUGACUACAGGCGAGAGAACAAUACUUGUGUCCCAGUCUGAGGAUUUUGAGAGAGUCUCUGUCAGCAAUAAUAGCUUCCUCCAGACACACACCCGAUAAGACGAGUCCAGUAACAUGAGCCCUUUCAAAAGGUACUGGAUUGAUACCAUCUUUUGUUUGAGGGCUGCCGCUUGGUUGUUUGGGACAGUAAUUGACUGAAGAGUAUUUUAGUUUCUGUAUUGUUUUUAAAGAGAUCAAUUUUUCUGUCUGAUGACUUCUAUAAUGACUGAUCUCAGGAAUUUUUUUGAUAUAGGUCUUUUUCUAUUCAGGGAGGCAAAUAGAGGUUACUGAUUGAAUCUUUAAAUGAAAGGAUGUAUUUUAACAUAUGGGAUUACAGCGGGUGUCCAAAAUGUAUACUAAUUUCUUAAGAUAGUAUCUACACUACAGUUAAAAUGUUUGUCCUAUAACCUGGCUACAACACACAUCCGUUGUGCAGUAGAGCUACAAUGCAUCUAAAGCUUUAGCCUGAUUACGGAACAUCCCCACUACAAAUUGCCAUGGUUAGCAUAUUUCUGUAUAUCAAGUUAAGUGUGUAUGGUAUGUGAUAUAAUUCCUGUUCAGAGGAACUUAACUUCGAAAUUGAUCCAGAACAGUGGGAGAGAGGGAGAAGCAGGGGAGAGGAGGGAAGGAAGAAGGGAUAUGCAGAAUAAGGCUGAGGUUGUUGGCAACAGUACCCUAGUUCCUAAGGUUUGGUUUGUUUAGAAUAACUUUGUUUAAAGGGAUAUAAUUAGAGAAUCAAUUAAAAGAUUGUGAGGGGCGGGGAAAGGUGGAUAUUGAGGAGGGAGGUUGCAUGGCAUACAUGAUCGAGGUGGUUGUUCUACACCUAGGUAGCAACGUGAGAGAACAUGGAGGUUCUCCUUAAAUCUCAGAAUAUUGAUUGUUUUUUUGCUUUUGGAAAGUGCUUAAAUGUUAAAUUCUUUGUGCGUCCUUUGGCAACCUCUGCUAAAUACAGGACACUGCCUGUAUUUAGACAUUGUACCUUGGCAUAUAACUAUUCCAUUACAUUAGAAUCAUUUUCAUUUUGGCAGUCCUCCAACAUCCCAAAACGACUAGCUCCUAAAUGGUCAUCAUGGAGGAUUAACCCAGUACCCCAUGCACAGCUGGAUUGACACUGAAAGCAGAGCUGCUCAUUUGCACACUCCCCCAUGCACAAGUUGCCCAUGACCCCAGCAGGCAGUUUCUGUCUUAGGUAAGUGGAACCCUAUUGGGUCACUCUACCUCCACAGCAUUGUCAAACAUUUUAGUCUCUUAGUCCUUCACUUCUGUGAGGUGUUGGAGACCCUAUAUGCUGCUCUUCGAAAUACUUCUGGCCAACUGAACGGGAAAUGCUGCUGGAUUCCAGAUAAUCCAGACCCUCCUAUGCUGGGAUGGCUGAUCACUACACUACCUUGCUUUUGAAUAGGUGUGGAUUUAAAGAGGAAAAUGUAGUAGAAAAGAAGCUUUCAGGGCUCCAAGAGUAACUUGCAACCCCCCAAACUUCCUGUAAUAAAAAUUUAGUCAUAUAAUCUUGUUACAAGAAAAGAGGAAAUGUUAAGUAACAGUUGCAUACAUCUGCAUGAGCUUAAUACAUACAAGUAGAGUUGAGUGCCACCACAACAUUAAUUUGAUGUGCUCUCUAAACAGUUAGAGAUGGGUAAGGGUUUGUUUUUAUAUUCCUGUGCUUAAAUGAGUUGUGGGCUUCAUAUUAAAAAAUAGUUUCCCCAGGAGCAGAAGGGGCUUAUCAGUCAGUGGCUGAAACAACAUUGCCUUUUGAUGACAGCAUGAGGAUGUCCUGAAUCCCAGUGAAGAGUUAACAGUAGCAAGCCAUCAACUGGCUGACACAUCCUUAACUAAUUGUAAAUGGGGAAUCAUCAUCCAGUGGAGGUGUUUCUAGUGGGGCCCCCCUCAUUAAAUCUGUUUUUGUUCCAAUCCUGUUUAAUAUCUCUAUCGACGACUUGGAAGAAAACUUAUCAUGCCUGGUAAAACAGACCACAAACAGUGGAGGGGUAAAUGACAGUUCAGUUCUACAGAGCAAUCUGUCGAACAAUAUGCACUUUAAUACAAUUAAAUGUAAGGUUUAUAUAUAGUAGAAACCAGAAUGUAGGUCACCGAAGGUGGAGGACAGUAUUUUGGAAAGCAGUGACUCCACAGGGCUUUGUGUUAUGGGGAUAACCAGUUGAACAUGAGCUGACAGUAUGAUGCAACUGGCUAAGAGAGCAAAGGCAAUAAACUUAUUUGUAUAAGUAGGGGAAUACUGAGUAGAAGUAGGGAGAUGUUACCUCUACUGCAUGUGUCAGUGCUGAGACAGUUACUAGAAGACUGUUCACUUCUCACGUCUGCUCUUUAAAGACGUUUACUCCUUGGGGGAUUGUGUGACUGCGUGCCCACAGAAAACAGGGCCCAACCUUAUAGUGAAAGAGAAGGGCUCACAAUCUAAUUAGCUUAACAAAGAGAAGGUUUAAGAGGUGACUUGAUCAUGGUCCAAAGCUAUGUCUACACUACCACCUAUGACGGCAAAACUUAUGUCACUCGGACAUAAGCGACAGAAGUUACACUGAUAUAAGUGCUAAUUCAUUGUAUGGAAUUUUAGUUUGUACUGCCUUCGCUAGUGCUUUUUAUGUAGCCUGUUGUAAAACUAGGCAAAUAUCUAGAUGAGUUGAUGUACCCCCUGGAAGAUCUCUACAUGUCCCCAGGGAUAUAUGUAUUCCUGGUUGAGAACCACUGAGAUAGGUCAUAGAAUUUCCCCAAAAUAAUUCCUAGACCAGAUCUUUUAGAAAAACAUCCAAUCUUGAUUUAAAAAGUCAGUGAUGGAGAAUCCACCAUAAUCUUUGGUGAACUGCUCCCAUGAUUAAUUAGUUAAAAACCUAUGCCUUAUUUCCAUGCAUGAUGCCAUGAAUCAUGCAGGUUAUUGGUAUUAUUAGAUUCCUGCUAUACAUCCAGUUUGAUGAUCUCUAACUAAUUCCUCAGAAAGAAUGUGAUGCUUUCCAAACAGCACUAAUGUUACAAUCACAAUACUGCUUUUCAGGUGACUAGUGUGCAAAUGUCAAAGUCUGCUUUGGAGUGGAAGCCAUGAAUUGGAUUGCUGUGAAAAACUGAGUGACUAGGACAUUCAUAGUCUUUUCAUAUGGGGGGUGGAGAGUUAAAUUUUAUUUUACCAGACAGAACUGGUUGGAAAGUGCCAUUGCUUUCUGUUGCCACUUUGAAAACCAAAAUGUCUCUCUUAUUUGGGCUUCAGUUCUCCUCUGACUGAGGCCAGGGGUGCUGUGGAGGUGGCCUCAUGAACGUUUAAGGAAACUUUCCUAGGAGCCCUCAACUCAGUCUCUAGCUUCACACAUGCAGAUCAGCAAGUUUAAUAAACUCAUUUGCAGACACAUCCUUUUGAAAAGCCCAGCCAUAAUAUUACAGCAACUCUCAAACUGAUUGCUGCUUUAAUUCACUAAAGCAUAGUUUGCACUAUCUGAUCUACAAUAUGUAGGGGAGGCUGCUUCUCUAAGUUUUAGCCACCUAUUUCCCCUGUCUUUCAGGUCCAGCUGUACAUAGCAAAGGUGGGACCAGCCAUUUUGAUUCAACUGAGUUGUUCCUCAUUUGAAGACUGGUUACUUGGGAUUUUAGUUUAUAUUAUUUCCCUUACAUGUUCAUUGAGAUUUAUUAGCCUUCAACUGCACAUGCUCAUCAAAGGUUCCUGAAUCCAUCCUCGCUGAAGAUGGCACUGUUUCAAGUGCUAAUGACAUUUAUGCUAAAUUUCAUAUAUUUUCUUACUGUCUUCUAUAUAGCAUACUAUGAAUGCUGAACUUUCAAAAAGCUUUUAUGCUUGAUUUGA